GUCUCACAGGAAGUUUGAGCACCCUAGACAUGGGUCCCUUGGGUUCCUUCCAAGGAAGCGAGCUUCUCGUCACAGGGGAAAAGUGAAGGCUUUCCCCAAGGAUGACCCUACCAAGCCAUGCAAGCUUACUGCCUUUUUGGGUUAUAAGGCUGGCAUGACACACAUUGUUAGGGAGGUCGAGAAACCUGGGUCAAAGCUUCACAAGAAGGAGACCUGCGAGGCUGUUACCAUAGUUGAGACACCUCCAAUGGUCAUUGUUGGAGUUGUGGGUUAUGUGAAGACACCACGUGGUCUUCGCACUCUGAACACUGUCUGGGCUCAGCAUCUUAGUGAGGAGGUGAGAAGGAGAUUCUAUAAGAACUGGUGCAAGUCCAAGAAGAAGGCAUUCACCAAGUACUCUAAAAAGUUUGAAUCUGAAGAUGGGAAGAAAGAUAUUCAGUCUCAAUUGGAGAAACUGAAGAAGCAUUGUUCUGUUAUUCGAGUCUUGGCGCACACCCAGAUCAGAAAGAUGAAAGGGUUGAAGCAGAAGAAAGCCCAUCUGAUGGAGAUUCAGGUAAAUGGUGGGGAUGUUGCCAAGAAGGUCGACUUUGCCUACAGUUUCUUUGAGAAGCAGAUACCUAUUGAUGCUGUUUUCCAAAAGGAUGAGAUGAUUGAUAUAAUUGGUGUGACCAAAGGAAAGGGCUAUGAAGGUGUGGUUACUCGUUGGGGUGUCACCCGUCUCCCCCGCAAGACCCACCGUGGUCUGCGGAAAGUGGCAUGUAUUGGUGCUUGGCAUCCAGCUAGGGUGUCAUUUACUGUUGCUAGGGCUGGGCAGAAUGGUUACCAUCACCGUACUGAGAUGAACAAGAAAAUCUAUAAGCUUGGGAAAACUGGCCAAGAGUCUCAUACUGCAAUCACUGAAUAUGACAGGACUGAAAAGGAUAUCACGCCAAUGGGAGGAUUCCCUCACUAUGGUGUGGUGAAGGAGGAUUAUGUGAUGAUAAAAGGAUGCUGCGUUGGACCAAAGAAGCGUGUUGUGACCUUGAGACAAUCAUUGUUGAACCAGACAUCUAGGGUUGCUUUGGAGGAGAUCAAGCUCAAGUUUAUUGAUACAUCCUCCAAGUUUGGCCAUGGUAGAUUCCAGACAACACAGGAGAAGGCAAAGUUCUAUGGGCGGGUGAAGGCUUGAUUUUAGUAGCAAGAGAGGGAAUAAAUAAACAUCAUGACUUUUCUCCCCCUGUUUGAAAAUUUUGAGUUCAUUAUGCAGCUGGUGACUAGAGUUUUGUUGUUUCAUUUAUUAUUGAACCUGUUUGGAGAUUUCAUCAUCAAAUUAAUUAUUGCAAUUUAUAUAUAUCUGAAUGCCAAUGAUAUAUCAAUGGCCCCAAUUUGUACCCUUUCAAAGGGCAUGACGUUGAUGAGUUAUGAGUUUUUUGUUUGUGUUUUUAGCAUAAAUUAUGACUCCAU
rnacentral:misc_RNA from 1 species